CUCCCCUCCACGCCUUUAAUUGCCGGCUCUGGCCCAACUGAAAGACCAGGAGUGGUUCGUGAGAGCAGUUCCCACUGCUUCAGCCCCAAUUCAGAUAAAUCCACCUUUGUUGAAGCCAUGUUGUGCCAGAUGCCACAGAGAAUUUUCAGAGGGCACACAAGCAGUGAAGACGCCUGUGAGGAUGGGCGAGGCUCAGAGUGGAGAUCACCCCCCAGAGUCGCCUGACUGCACUUCA
rnacentral:lncRNA from 1 species